rnacentral:rRNA from 1 species
AUUCAGCGGCGCAAGGGUGUGUAACACGUGGGCAAUAUACCUUAAAGAUCGGAACAACUCCGAGAAAUCGGAGCUAAUGCCGUAUUAAAUAUGAGUCGGGCAUCCGGCAAAUAUUAAAGCUGGGGACCGAAAGGCCUGGCGCUCUAAGAUUAGCCCGCGGCCUAUCAGCUAGUUGGUGCGGUAACGGCGUACCAAGGCUAAGACGGGUAGCUGGUCUGAGAGGACGACCAGCCACACUGGAACUGAGACACGGUCCAGACACC